rnacentral:rRNA from 1 species
GAUGAACGCUAGCUGCAGGCUUAACACAUGCAAGUCGAGGGACCGGCGCACGGGUGAGUAACACGUAUCCAACCUGCAUUGUAGGGGGGGAUAGCCUUUCGCAGGAACGAUUAAUACACGAUAAAAAGGACGGUGAUGCGUUCCAUUAGGUGGUUGGUGAAGUAACGGCUCACCAAGCCUUCGAUGGAUAGGGGUUCGGAUAGGAAGGCCCCCUACAUUGGAACCGAGGCACGGACCAAACUCCUAGGGGGAGCAGCAGAGAGGAAUAUUGUGCAAUGUGCGCUAGCCUGAACCUGCCGAGUAGCGUGAAGGAUCAAUGCUUUGUGGUGGUAAACUUGUUGUAAAGAAGAAUAUUUAUUAUCUGAAUAAGGACCGGCUAACUCCGUGCCAGCAGCCGCGGUAAUUC